ensembl:snoRNA U8 U8 small nucleolar RNA
UUGUCAGUGAGGUACAUCCUUACCUGUUACUCCAUCCGUGGAGUUGCAGAACAUGAUGAAUGGAGCUAAAUGAGAUGUGAUUAAUGUCUCUGCCCUGGUGGGAACAGCAACACCCAUCAGGACCCAUUCUGAU